CCCAUAUAAAGGCGCGGCGUUUCCUUAUGCGUAGGACGUUCGCUCAACAUCUGUUUGUUUUGACAAUGGCGAAGGGCUUUGUUUUAUGUGUUGCAGUCUGCUUAUUUCUGACAGCUUCGCUGCUAUUCGCUCGCGCUGAGGACAACGAUUUGGUUAACAAAUUCGAAGCUGUCGCCAAGUUAGCAGCCAGGCGAGCCCUGGGCCGUCUGAGCCCCGGGGCCUUGGCGAGUCUUCAGGAGGCGAAGAAGUCGGAGGACCUGCUCGAAUCCGAGCGUGAAGAUGACUGUCCGUGGCCCCCUGCGCUGUGUAAAGAUGGUGGCAUGCAUGGAAAAAGAACAGUGCGUGAAGCCAUCGAAGAGGUUCAGCAAGCCCCUGAAUAGCACCGAUCUUGUACGAUUAACGAGGACUGACCAACUAAGAGCCCGUGCAAGACUCAGACGCACUUGCAUUAUUUCCAACCGACAUCGCCGAUGCUGACAUCCAUACUACAGAGGGGCCCGUCUACACCACCACGGAGUAGUCAACACAUUGGACGGCGAUUCGCAUGAAAGAUUCCGAAAUCUGAUAAUAAAUAAACUUGCACUUUGAUUCGAAUAGGCCAAGCAUAUUGUUCUGAACAACAUACCAUAACCAUGGAGACAUUGCUAACUUAAACAUAAUCUUUAGGUUAUUUUCAAAAGUAUGUAAAUUAUUUAGUCGAAUAUCGUGUUGCCACUUUUCUUCGCACAAAUACUGAGAUUUUUGUGUUUUAUCCAUACCUGAAUGUCUCGAUCAAGUGAUUAUCACAUUUUGCGGUUAAUACACUUCGAAUACUACGACGUAACGGUCCAAAAGCUGUUCUGUUUCGAACUGAGGAGUACACCUUCCUGUUUUAUUGUGUCCACAUUUGGGCUCCAAGAACGUCGUCAAAGUAUAACGCCAAAUUUUUCUCAGCAGAAAAUUGACAUUUUGACACUAGUUCCCUCUCCAUGUAAAAAAAAAUUCAAAUAAAACUUACCAGCAGAAAAA